CAAAAAAUACCAAGACUGGAAACUCGGCGGUCAACUGACGUUUGCCUACAAGCUGCGUGGUGUGGUGAAUGUCGUGAACCUAUCGUUGUGUUCGUGUCCGAUGUGUGGUGAAUGUCGUGAAUCUAUAAAUGUGUGCGUGUUAACGUCAUUUAUCAACGUGGUGGCUUUCACAUAUAUUCACAGACAGCACUGUCCACAAAAGGGUUUUGGGGGGAAAGACGUACGAAAUUUUCCAGUCUUGGUAUUUUUUGUUUAUGCCCAAGGGGCUAAGGUGUUGUUGUAUUUAACAUGUAAAUUGCUUAGCCCAGACUGCGUUUUUUUUGUCUAGUUAAGACCGGUUGUAAUAAAAAACACACCUAUUAUAUCCUCUAAGCGAAAUUGGUGGGUUAAAUUCCUGAUCCUAGGCGGAACCACGUUUGUACAACUGGCCCUGGGAUUCAAUAAACCUCGCAACUUGUAGGCAAAAAUGAUUUGACAACUCAGUUUCAUUAUUUGGUAUAGUUUGUCUAUGGUUUCCAUUCUUGAUAUAGUUUGUAUAUGGCAGUUACCAGAUAGUUAUAUAUCUGUGGUGGAAAGCACAACGAAAAAUAUCUAUUUUCAUGUUCAUGAAUAAACCUCGAAUCAAAUCAACCUAAGUUUCCAGAAUUUAAACUAAUUGUUUCUGUGUUCUAUACCUAUGUUAUACCUAUGUUGCUAGAUAUGUCGACUACAAAUACAAAUGUUGAACAACAUAAAAUAUGGUGCACAUUGGCAAAUAAAAAACUCCAGUCAGUUUACAACCAGCUCUGCGAAUUCGAGACUUUGCUUUGUGAAGAACAAGCAGAAGGACCUCAACUCUUUGAGCUCUUAAAUACUUUAAAUGAGAUCUAUGACCAUCAUCAGUCUGUUUUGCAGACAAUUGAAUCGAGCAAGCAGUCCCUUCGUGAGAAAAGUAACGGCCUUCAAAUACAAAUUGAAGUUCUAAAGCGAUCAAUUGAUCUAAUGAAACUGGAAACAAAUUAAAGACGCCAAAAUAAAAUUGAAUUAUUAUAGUUUUCAUUGAGAUGAAGGAAA